rnacentral:sRNA from 1 species
AAAAGCCCCCAAAGUCCUCCUUAUUAACGAUUUUGCCAUCUCUUCUUCUUCAUCAUCACCACC